AGAAAAUUGCCAUAUUUGAGUAUGUAUUUGUAAUAAUAUAUAUUAAGUCUAAUCUACGUUGUUUAUAGAAUUGACUGAUCAAUCAUAUCAAAGAACUAAUCAAAAUAUCUGUAAUAGGCCCAAUUCGCCCGGGCCCAUACAAAACCAAAAACCAAAAAAUAAAAACAAAAACAAUGAACAGCCCAGAAUAAGUCAAUAUCCAUUUACAAGUUAUUUAACCCAAAAAAUAUAUAUACAGUCCAGCCCAGAUACAUUUUUUAAAACCCAAUUGCAUAAAUCCUAAACCCAAUUAAUUAAUAACCCAAAGUCUCAGCCCAUUCAAUACAUGACCCAAAGACUGGUCCAGGUGAUUGUUUCAGAAGCUCUAAGGGUUCUCCCUCUCGCGCAGCAGCCAGUAAUUCGGAUGAGCACCACACGUGCGCCACCAGCCCCUCGCGCGCGUCUCCGCUCGUGCUUGUGUACGGCCUUUCCUGUAAAUGGAACAUACGAGAAGGAGAAUGACAGAAUCUACAACAAAUAACAGCAAUAAAAUGUAAUUUUAUUUUUUGAUUUUACUUUGUAAAUCCGGCUAUAAAAGCCGACGAAUGUACCUGCAAAAAACUUACGCAUACUACGCAUACUGAAAUACACAAGGUGAUUUCCAAUUCAAGAUCUCUAAAUGCUUUAUUUUCUUUGAUUUCAUUUUUUUGGAUUUGUGGUUCUUGUAUUCGAAAGAAAAACAAGAAAAAGAAAAAAGGGAAAGGAGCUUACCUCGUAAAUACGCCGUAGGUCUUCUUCUACUUUGUUGAAAUCGAAGUCAGGAGGAGAUCUUGAGGCUAAAAAUUUCGUCCUCUAAGCUUCAAUGUGCAGAUUGUUGUUUGGGGGAUGGGAAUCGGUGGUUUGAAGUGGGGAUUUAGGGGUUGGCUAAAGUAUAGAAAAGGGGCUAGGGUUAUUGGCUGUAUGUUUAAGUUUUAGCCCUUAUAAUUUCAAUUCCGUUAGGUUAUUUUAUUUCCUUUUCAUUUUGAAUUUAUUUUUAUUAAAUUUUCUAUUUAUAUAAUUC
rnacentral:lncRNA from 1 species